rnacentral:rRNA from 1 species
UGGGGGCAACUCUGCAGUUUAGUGGCGGACGGGUGAGUAACACGUGGGUAACCUGCCCGGAAGUGGGGAAUACCUCGGGGAAACUCGAGCUAAUACCGCAUGACAUCUUUGGGACGAGAGUCCUGACGAUCAAAGCGGGGUCGCAAGAUCUCGCGCUACCGGAUGGGCCCGCGCCCGAUUAGCUAGUUGGCGAGGUAAUGGCUCACCAAGGCUUCGAUCGGUAACCGGCCUGAGAGGGCGAUCGGUCACACCGGAACUGAGACACGGUCCGGACUCCUACGGGAGGCAGCAGUGGGGAAUCUUGCGCAAUGGGCGAAAGCCUGACGCAGCAACGCCGCGUGGAGGAUGAAGGCCCUUGGGUUGUAAACUCCUGUCGGUUGGGAAGAAAUCUUACGGGGUUAAUACCUCCGUAAGUUGACUGUACCAGCAAAGGAAGCCCCGGCUAACUCUGUGCCAGCAGCCGCGGUAAUACAGAGGGGGCCAGCGUUAUUCGGAAUUAUUGGGCGUAAAGGGCGCGUAGGCGGCCAUGCGUGUCUUUCGUGAAAUCCCUCGGCUUAACUGAGGACGUGCGGAAGAAACUGCAAGGCUUGAGUCCGGGAGAGGGGGGUGGAAUUCCCAGUGUAGCGGUGAAAUGCGUAGAUAUUGGGAGGAACACCGGUGGCGAAGGCGGCCCCCUGGACCGGUACUGACGCUGAGGCGCGAAAGCGUGGGUAGCAAACGGGAUUAGAUACCCCGGUAGUCCACGCCGUAAACGAUGGGCACUUGGUGUCGCGGGUAUCGACCCCUGCGGUGCCGAAGCUAACGCAUUAAGUG